GACGAACGCUGGCGGCGUGCUUAAUACAUGCAAGUCGAACGGAAAGGCCCUGCUCUUGUGGGGUGCUCGAGUGGCGAACGGGUGAGUAACACGUGAGUAACCUGCCCUUGACUUUGGGAUAACUUCAGGAAACUGGGGCUAAUACCGGAUAGGAGCUCCUGCUGCAUGGUGGGGGUUGGAAAGAUUCGGCGGUUGGGGAUGGACUCGCGGCUUAUCAGCUUGUUGGUGGGGUAGUGGCUUACCAAGGCUUUGACGGGUAGCCGGCCUGAGAGGGUGACCGGCCUCCUGGGGACUGCGAUACGCACCAGUCUCGUACGGGACGCAGCGGUGGAGAGUCUUGCGCAAUGGGCGGAAGCCUGAGACGGCAACGCCGCGAUCGGGAUAACCGCCUUCGAGUUGUAAACCGCUUUCGCCUGUGACGAAGCGUGAGUGACGGUAACGGGUAAGAAAGCACCGGCUAACUACGUG
rnacentral:rRNA from 1 species